rnacentral:misc_RNA from 2 species
AACGCACAUUGCGCCCGCCAGUAUUCUGGCGGGCAUGCCUGUCUGAGCGUCAUUUCAACCCUCAGCCCCCGUUCGCGGGGCGCUGGCGUUGGGGCCCGGCCGUCCUCGCGGCGGCCGUCCCCGAAACACAGUGGCGGUCUCCCGCAGACUCCCCUGCGUAGUAGCACUACCUCGCAGAAGGGACGAGCGGGCUGGCCACGCCGUAAAACACCCCACUUCUCCAGGUUGACCUCAGAUCAGGUAGGAAUACCCGCUGAACUUAA